GAUAAAAUAGUUAUUUUCAAUCCCUUUACAAUUAAACUGAUUAAAAUAUGAAGUACAGUAAAAUAUGAAAAUAUUGCCGUAGUUGAAGAGUGUGCUGUGGCAAAGCUGCUCUUUUUUUUUUAAUGUCCUGCGGCAAAAACCACGAUUGAAUGAUGCCGAGCUAAUUUUGCCUUUACCUUACGCCCCAGUCGAGAUCCGGCGACCUGCGAUGGGAAUAGCAAAUCUGAGGGCGCGUGCGGCUCCGGCGACCUCGAGCGGGCGGAGCUUGUCUUGACUACUCCGCGUGCGGCUCCAGCGAGCUGGCGUGGGCGGCGGCGGGCCGAGUGGUGUGAAGCAGCGCAACGGAUGCGCGUGCCGGGUGGAGCGGAGCGUCUCAUCGGCAGGUGCGGGUUCCGGCGUGCUCACAUGGGCAGCGGCGUGCAGGGAAGAGCAGAGCGGCAUAGCUCGACUCGGGGCAGUGCCCGGCGCGGAGGUGCUCCUCUAGGUCUCCGCCGGUGUAUAGUCGCGUGAGGAGAUGGGGCUCAGCUGGGGCCGCGCCAGGGUGCGGCAGUGCGAGGAGGAGCUCGGCAAGGUCGCCGUCCCCGGGAGCAAUCCAGCCUAUUGCAGAUGCUCACGCAGCGGCCGCAUGCCUAGCGUAGCAGAGCGGCGCAGCUGCAGGUGUGACAGCAAGAUUUGCGUUUCCAGCCAGGAUCGCGGCGGCGGCAUUUGGUAACUGUUAGCUGUUUCCAGUUUUCCGUAUAACUUAGCUUUUCUUCUGGAAGCUCUACGAGAAAUUGAGAAAUUUGCUGUUUGUUGGAGCUUCAGACUUUUCACGCCGAAAAGCUGACAGCUCAAACAAAUAGAGCCUAAAUAAACCUACAAAUACCAAUAAACCUACAAAUACCUA